UACGAAGGGGGCUAGCGUUGCUCGGAAUCACUGGGCGUAAAGCGUACGUAGGCGGAUUGUUAAGUCAGGGGUGAAAUCCUGGAGCUCAACUCCAGAACUGCCUUUGAUACUGGCAAUCUCGAGUCCGGGAGAGGUGAGUGGAACUCCGAGUGUAGAGGUGAAAUUCGUAGAUAUUCGGAAGAACACCAGUGGCGAAGGCGGCUCACUGGCCCGGUACUGACGCUGAGGUGCGAAAGCGUGGGGAGCAAACAGG
rnacentral:rRNA from 1 species